ACUCAAAUGAAUUGACGGGGGCUCACACAAGCGGAGGAGCAUGUGGAUUAAUUCGAAGCAACGCGAAGAACCUUACCUGGGCUUGACAUGUACGGAUGCCCUCGGUGAAAGUCGAGUAAGCUGCCUUCGGGUGAAACGUACACAGGUGCUGCAUGGCUGUCGUCAGCUCGUGCUGUGAAGUGUCGGGUUAAGUCCCUUAACGAGCGAAACCCUUAUCGUUAGUUGCCAGCGUUAAGUCGGGCACUUUAACGAGACCGCCGGUGUCAAACCGGAGGAAGGUGGGGAUGACGUCAAGUCCUCAUGGCCUUUAUGUCCAGGGCGUCACACGUGCUACAAUGGCGCGUACAGAGCGAAGCGAGACCGCGAGGUGGAGCAAAUCGCACAAAGCGCGCCUCAGUUCGGAUUGGAGUCUGCAACUCGACUCCAUGAAGUUGGAUUCGCUAGUAAUCGCAGAUCAGCCACGCUGCGGUGAAUGUGUUCCUGAGCCUUGUACACACCGCCCGU
rnacentral:rRNA from 1 species